AGAGUUUGAUUCUGGCUCAGGACAAACGUUGGCGGUGCGUCUUAGACAUGCAAGUCGAGCGUGAAAGCCCGCAAGGGUGAGUAAAGCGGCGAACGGGUGAGUAAUACUUGGGUAACGUACCUUUUAGAUUGGGAUAACGCGCCGAAAGGCGUGCUAAUACCAGAUAUGACCACGAUUUCUUUUGAGAUUGGGGUAAAAGAUGGCGCAAGCUAUCACUAGAAGAUCGGCUCAAGCACCAUUAGCUAGUUGGCGGGGUAAUGGCCCACCAAGGCGACGAUGGUUAGCCGGCCUGAGAGGGUGAUCGGCCACACUGGGACUGAGAUACGGCCCAGACUCCUACGGGAGGCAGCAGUUUGGAAUAUUCCACAAUGGGCGCAAGCCUGAUGGAGCGACACCGCGUGAAGGAUGAAGGUCUUCGGAUCGUAAACUUCUUUAGACCUAGAUGAAGAUUGCAAGGUAAAUAAUCUUGCAAUUUGACAGUAUAGGUAGAAUAAGCCACGGCUAACUCUGUGCCAGCAGCCGCGGUAAUACAGAGGUGGCAAACGUUGUCCGGAUUUAUUGGGUGUAAAGGGCAUGUAGGUGGUCUUAUAAGUCAAAGGUGAAAUGGCCCGGCUCAACCAGGUCAUUGCCUUUGAAACUGCAAGACUUGAGUUCGGAAGAGGAAAGCGGAAUUCCCAGUGUAGCGGUGAAAUGCGUAGAUAUUGGGAGGAACACCGGUGGCGAAGGCGGCUUUCUGGUCCGAAACUGACACUGAGAUGCGAAAGCCAGGGGAGCAAACGGGAUUAGAUACCCCGGUAGUCCUGGCCGUAAACGAUGAGUACUAGGUGUUAGAGGUAUCCACUCCUCUAGUGCCGCAGCUAACGCAUUAAGUACUCCACCUGGGGACUACGACCGCAAGGUUGAAACUCAAAGGAAUUGACGGGGGCCCGCACAAGCAGUGGAGCAUGUGGUUUAAUUCGACGCAACGCGCAGAACCUUACCUGGGUUUGACAUCCUUUGACCGCCUAUGAAAGUAGGUUUCCUCGCAAGAGGCAAAGAGACAGGUGCUGCAUGGCUGUCGUCAGCUCGUGUCGUGAGAUGUUGGGUUAAGUCCCGCAACGAGCGCAACCNNCCAGGGCUACACACGUGCUACAAUGGCGUAUACAAAGGGUUGCGAACCCGCGAGGGGGAGCCAAUCCCAAAAAGUACGCCCCAGUUCAGAUUGGAGUCUGCAACUCGACUCCAUGAAGCCGGAAUUGCUAGUAAUCGCGGAUCAGAACGCCGCGGUGAAUACGUUCCCGGGCCUUGUACACACCGCCCGUCAAGUCACGAAAGUCAAUUGCACCAGAAGCGAUUGCGCUAACCCGCAAGGGGGGCAGAUUGCGAAGGUAUGGUUGGUGAUUGGGACUAAGUCGUAACAAGGUAGCCGUAUCGGAAGGUGCGGCUG
rnacentral:rRNA from 1 species